UCUUUCAUUGCAGCUGCAAAGAAAUCAGGCUGCCUCCAUUGUGAGCCGGGAAGCCGGGCUGCGCCGGGGAGGUGUGAUCUUGCCAGCCAGGGACUUUCUCAUUGUUGCAAUUGGUCGCCCUGGCGUCCUAGAGCAGCCCCGGGCUCUGCCGACACCAGCUCCCGAGCCGGAGCCUGCAGGGGCUAGUGGCUUUCGAGGUCUGUGUAUCUCACCAUGGAUCAGUGGGCUGCUGUGGAUCCUGAUCAGAAACCUUUGUGCAGGGGUGGCAUACAGGAGAACGAUGAUCCCCUGGUGAUUCUGAGGCCUGACUCCUGUGCGGAUUCUCUCCCUACCCCAGCCGGGGACAGGGCAGCGAGUGAGACUGAGGAGGAGAAUCCCGGGGAGGAAGGCCCCGAGAUCGUGGAAUUGGAUCCAGCAUUGCUGGGCAGGCUGGAGGGGGCUGGGGCCAGGAGCCCGGAGGAGCAGGGUCCAGACUGUGAGAGCCUGCGCUGGACGGUGGUGCAGCAGAUUGACUCCCCCGGGAAGCCGGCGCAGCGGCGGGGCGGCGGGGGCAAGUCAGCUGGCGCCAGCUUCCAGAACUUCAAGAGCAUCAUCGUGCUGCAGAAGAGCUACGAGUGUGGCGAGUGCGGCAAGACCUUCAGCUGCAGCUCGCACUUCAGCAAGCACCGGCGCACCCACACCGGCGAGAAACCCUUCUGCUGCCUGCACUGCGGGAAGAGCUUCAAUGUCAGCUCCAACCUCUACCGCCACCAGCGGGCCCAUGCCGCCGAGCGGACCUGCCCAUGCCCCGAGAGCUCCCCACCGCCGGUGCCAGUGAGCGCCCCCAACCCCGCCACUCCUCGGCCCCGGGGGCUGCCAUACAAGUGCGAGGAGUGCGGCAAGAGUUUCCGGCGCAACACAGAACUGGUGACCCACCAGCGGCUGCACACGGGGCGCUUGCCCUUCCAGUGCACCCACUGUGGGAAGAGCUUCUCCUGGAGCUCCCACUUCGACCGGCACCAGCGCAUCCACACAGGCGAGAAGCCCUACCAGUGCCCCGAGUGCGGGAAGUGCUUCAGCCGCAGCUCCCACCUCUACCGGCACCAGCGCACCCACGCUGGGGGCCGCUCCUAUAUCUGCACCUACUGCGGGCGCAGCUUCAACAGCACCCUGCACUUCGACCGGCACCAGCGCACCCACACCGGCCUGCGCCCCUACAAAUGCACCCUAUGUGGCAAGGGCUUUGGCGAUGGGCUGGCCCUGGUCAAGCACCAGCGCCUGCAUCUAGGCGAUGGGCCCUUCCACUGCGAGGAGUGCGGCAAGAGCUUCGGGGCGAGGGCGCAGUAUGCCCGGCACCGGCGCAGCCUGCACGGUGCCGCCGCUGCCAACACCGGCGGCGAGAAGCCCUACCGCUGUGGCGACUGUGGCAAGAGCUUCUCCUGGAGCUCCCACUGGGAACGACACCAGCGUAUCCACACUGGGGAGCGCCCCUACCAGUGCGGCGACUGCGGCAAGCGCUUUGGCCGCACCUCCCACCUCUACCGGCACCAGCGCACCCAUGCCGGCGGCCAGCCCCACGUCUGCGCCGACUGCGGCAAGAGCUUCAACAGCACCUUGCACUUCCACAAGCACCGGCGGGCCCACGCAGGUGAAGCCCCCUGCCAUGCCUGCCCCGACUGCGGAAAGGCCUUCGCUGACGGCUCCGCUCUGGCCAAGCACCGGCGCACCCACACUGGAGAGCGGCCCUUCCCUUGCCCCCAGUGUGGACGGCGCUUCAGUGUCAGCUCUCACCUGUACCGCCACCUGAGGAGCCACACCGAGGAGAAGCCGCUGGAGGAGAUCGCAUCCUACUAGAGAUCAACUCCUCUUCCCCCUUUACCUGGGAGAGGAACCCCCCCAUGCUGGAGGUUUAGCUCACCUGGACCUGGCUGCCCCUCUCUGGGCACGGGAGUGAACCCCAUGCACUGCCAGCCAGAGCGUUAGUGGGGCUUACCUCACAGGGAUCUGACCAUGGGGAUCGCCGACCUGCAGGGGUAGCUGAGACCUCUAGGAGAGCAGUGGGCAACCCCAUUGUGGGCAUUCUGGGGCCACAGGGACGGGUGCAGUGUAAGGUCCCAGUCUGGAGCCCCUUGAAGGGCUCCACGUCGAUGGGGGUCUGGAUCAGCCCUGAGGAUAUAGGUAGAUAAGGUAGAUUAGGUAGGUAGGAUAGGUAGGAGGUAGAGCAGAGUGGUGGCUGUACUAGGGGGCUGGGCAGGGUGGAAAUAAGAGAGGGAGAAUGUUAAAUGGUGUGUGAUUGAGGGCGGAUUACCCUCUCGCUCGCUCCGGUGUAAAUCAGGAAUAUACUCACCGGCGUCAUGGGGGCUGAUUCCCCUCUCAUUCACUCUGGUGUAAAUCAGGAAUAACCCCACUGGAGUAACUGGGGCCAAUUCCCCUCUCGCUCACCCCAGUGUAAACCAGGAGUAACCCCACUGGGGUUAGUGCAGUUACAGGAGUGUGGAGGCAAGGGCGAAUGGGUGAUCGGAGCUGGGGCGGGAGGCAGUAUCUGGGGAUCAGGCAGGUGGGGCAGGAGGUGGCGAGGAAGAUGGGAACCAGACUGGGAGGGGAAAUGAAGUGUUUGGGGAUUGGAGUGUCUGUGCGGUGGGAGCAAGAGAGGGAUGUGGGUGAUGGAGGACUGGCAUGUCUGUGGACUGGGCUGGUGGGGCAGAUAUGGCACUGCUAGGGGUCUCCAGACUGAGGAGGAUGGGACCAAGUUUACUGCCACUCCUUCUCUGGGUUUCCAUGCCCUAUCCCUGCCUCCUGAUCAGACAGGACCCAGGAGGAGAAGAAACUCUGCCACAUGGAACCCCCCACAAGCCAUCCCAUCCAGGAGGGGAAAUGCAGGGGACUCAGCAUGGAGAGAGCCUGGGAAGUGGAGAGAGCUUGGUGUGUAAUGCACCUGACUCCAGCAGGAAUGAGAGACAGAAAACCUUAGGGUAGAGUGUGAUUAACUUGUGGAGUUCACAGCUGCAGGAGAUGACUGGGGCAAACACCUCAGCAAAGCCCUCUGCCAGCUCCAUGGAGCAGUCUGGGGCUGUUGACUUCCAAGCGACUUCCUGCGUGUGUGAAAAUCUCCCUUAGACACACGCCCUGCCAGUCCCGAUCCUAAUUCAGAGCACGAGGGACAAAAACCUGCUCUCCACUGUUCUAGGGAUAUGGAGGGGGUGAGUUUCUGUAAAGGAAGAAAGCUAAUCACUCCUGAAAUUAGCUAUCCAAGCUGGGGCUCAGAAGAUCAUGAGCUUCAUCAGCUGCACUUUUUGGAAGGAUCUGUGAGGUGGAGCUGAACUGGCCCUCGCAAUAGUGGGAAAUGUUGGACAACAAAGCCUACGUCCCUCAUGGAGGCAGCAGCCCUUUCACAUGGGGCCGGUUGGGAAGCCCCAGAGUGUGUUAUCCUAGCUGGGCAUUGGCUUUGACUGGACACUUGGUUACCUGGCUGGGCUGGAGCGACACAUGCUGCUGAGCGAUGGCCCAAGCAGAAAAGGGCUAUUGGCUGGAGUUAAAGGUGACCUGCAAAGGGAUUUUGCUUUCUUUUAUGCUUGUUUUUUAUGUUAGAAAUUCUGGUCUAGUUUACCGUAGAAGACUCUACAGUGCCUGGGAGAACGAGUGAAGAGAGGACAUCCCAAGAAAAUGGAAAUUGAGCAAUUGGAAGGAGAAGGGAUUUUUGACCAGCCUAUUGUAAAACUUUUUGGUUUUUUAUUAAUACCUGUUUCAUUCCAGUACCUAUUCAACACCUGUGAAAAAAGAAAAUCAAUGUUAACGAUUAUAGGCAGCCCUGUUUGAAAAGCUUGCCUAACAGUGGGUUCCUCUGUCCAUAUUUAGGCACCUAAAUAAUUAUAUUAUUUAAUAUAUUAGGUAAUUUUUAGGUGCCUAAAUGUGGAUUUUGGAGCCAAGCUUUAGGCAUCUCAGCUCAAAAAUAUUGCAAUGAAGACUCACUAUCGAUAUCUCUAAGGCCCCAACAAGACAUCCAGCCUAGCCAGGGGAGAUGUGGCUUGACAUGCCUGACAUUUCAGAGGUAAAAAACAAGCAGCCAAAAAGACACAUGUAGUUACAAAAAAUAAAAUCUUUCCAGCCUUUGCUCUGCGUCACCAGGAAACAAAGACACAGGUCUGGUUUUGUUUUCCAAUCCACUGCAGGUCUCCUUUCAGCCAUAGAAUCCCAUCUCCGGAGCAAGGAGCCCAGGUAGAGUAGUAGUUUAGCAUGGGGGCUUGAACCCUGAGCUUUUUAGCUAGAGUUCUGGGAAUGAUGUUCACUCGACAUAAGCUCCACUGCUGUCCUUGCUGUCGGGUCCAUCUCUGGUCAAGGGGAGCUGGGACUGUGUUUGUAUUGUGAAUAAAAUAGACAAGGGGGGGAAAUAUCUUGGGUCUGUGUUCAGUUAUUUCUCUGCUAGAGACGGGAUUAGCCCCACUUUCCUAACAGCACCUUGCAGGGCAGAUUAGCAACACUGUGGUUAAACUGCUGGCCUAGAACUAAGGAGAUCUGGGUUUAAAUCCUGACUCUGCUACAGACUCCUUGGGUGUGUCUUUGGCUCCUUGGGUCCCAGUUCCCCACAAUGGGAAUAAUACUUCCCUGACUCUCAGGGAUGCUGUGUGGAGAACUUAAUGUCUGUGAGCUACUCAGGCAGUACAUAUUCCUAGCAAGAGCCAGUGGGUGUAAUGGGCGUAGCUACUCAACAGAAGUGUGCCAGUUUAUACCAGUUGAGGAUCUGAUACAAAGGGGCCUGAUUCCCCCACUGUGGUUGGAAAGUUAGCAGAAUAAGACAGUCUUAUUUCAGAAUAAGAGCUCUUAUGCCAGGGUUUGCGCUUAUUUAUCAAAACCAGUUUCAAUUCACACCUUGUUAUACUGGUGCAGCUUUUUGGUGUAGACAAGUCCUUGGUGACUUCAUACAUACAGACAGCAGCUUUCAAAGAGGACUCCUUUGGGCCUGAGUCUUAUUUACACUAAGAGCUUGUCUAAACCAGUUUAAUUAAAGGUGUGCAUAUAAACUCGUUUAGUUAAACCAGUGCAAACCCCUGUGUGGAUGCUCUUAUUUCAGUGUAAAGGCAGCUCAUGUCUAAACAUUAGUCACUUAAUAAAAAUCCCAUGAGAUUUGUUUCAGCAAAGGGGGUGAUGCUUACGUGAUGGUAACGUUAGCAGUCAGCAUGCAUGGUAUAGACACAGCAAUGCCAUGUCGAUGUCUGAAUUGCUCCCAAUAUUCACAGGUUAGAUCAUUUCAUGCAUGCUCACUUCAGCAUGCCCAAUGCUUCUGAUGACUCAUGAACACUUGAGGGCAGCAUAACUCAAGGAAAGUCCCUCAUUCAACACAUUAGGGAGCCCACUGACUUCAAUGAAGCUGUUCCCACACAUGAAGUUAGGGGUGUGCUAAAUACCUUGCUGAAUCAGGGUCAAAAAGAGGAUCUGAUUUAUAUAGCCAUAGAUUUUAAGGCCAGAAGGGGGCCAUUCUGAUCAUGUAGUUUCACCUGCAUCAUACCCGGGGAUUCCUGCAUCCAGUCCAUAACCUGCAGUAGAGUUAGAACAGAUCUUUCAAGGCAGGUUGGCACUGCAAAUUAAGGUGUGAUGGCAGCUUGGGAAGGCAUACCCAUGCUGGCUUCAGUUUAGCUAGCAUGGCUAACAGUUGCAAUGAAGACAUGGCAGCCCCAGUACAAGCCCACUAUGAAUUGGCUAGCCUGCCCCAGGGUCUGGGCUGCCAUGCCUUCACAGCUGUUGUUACCCACUCUAGCUAAAUUAAAGCUAGCACCGAGUCUGUUUACCCAGGCUGUAAUUACACCACCAAUUUCAGGGUUGACGUACCCUUAACAAGAGACACCCAGUCUUGAUUUAAAGACUCCGAGUGAUGGAGGAUCCACUGCGUCCUUCAGGAAGCUGUUCCAAUGGGUUAAAAAUGCGCACCUCAUUUUCAGUUUGAACCCUGCCAACUUCAACUUUCAGCCGUUGGAUUUCAAUUUGCCUUGAGACGGCAUAGACCAUGAUCACUGUUUCUCUUAACCCUCCCUUCAGUAAGCUAAACAGAUGGUGCUCCUUUGGCAUCCCAUUAUAAGGCCUCUUUUCCAGGCCUUGCAUCAUUCUUGUAGCUCUUCUCUACAUCCUCCGUGACCAUUCAACAUGUGUGGACACCAGAACUGGACACAGCAUCCCAGCAGUGAUCUUGCUAAUGCUACAUGUCAGAUAAUAUCACAUCCCUACACCUACUUGCUACUCCUGUUCAUGCAUUCAAGGAUCUCAUUAGCCCUUUUAGCAAUAACAUCACACUGGGAGCUCAUGGUAAAGUCAUUUUCAAAGACACUGCUUCUCAGGGAACAGAGAUUGGAUCUUUAAUUAUUUGUCCAAGAAAGAUCAAGAAUAUUGAAUGAAGGUGAUGUCCCUUCGCGUUAACACAGAGAUUCUUCUGUUUCCAGAAGGGUGAAUCAUAACUAGAACCAGUAGAAAUGUUUCGUUCCAGUUUUCUGCCAGUGAAGUUCCAUUUUUGAAAGACAGAAAUUUUCUCAAAAGUAUUUUGACAUUCUCAAAAUUAUCAAUUUUUUUGAAAAUUUUUGGUGGAAACAUUUUCAUUUAGCAGUAAGUAUUUUCCAUUUUCAUUUACUUUUUUGUUUGUUUUUCAGAUUUUAUUUCCCACUGAGGGGUGGGAAGGAGUUAUUUUCCCCUCAUUGCAAUUUUUGAUUGGCCAGCUUAAUCAUAGAGUCAUAGAAUAUAAGGGUUGGAAGGGACCUCAGGUGGUCACCUAGUCCAACCCCCUACUCAAAGCAGGACCAAUCCCCAACUAAAUCAUCCCAGCC